rnacentral:tRNA from 1 species
GUGCAUGGGGAUGCACUGGGAAUUACUGAAAAAUGUUCUUAGAUCCCCCUCCUAAGGGGCAGGUCGGAGGUUCGAAUCCUCUCCGGGACGCCA